ACUGGUCUUCUGAUGGAAAUUUCAAAAAUUCGGAUAAGUGGCAAAUUUUCAGCCAGCUCAAGGAAAUCGAAAUAGGAAAGGGCAGCUUUGCAAGGAGAAACUAAGGCACCAGUGAGGAAGAAGAGCUUUCAGAGUUAACUAAGAGUUAACUGGCUACAUUUCAACUGUCACCAUUGUCUUACAUCUACAUAGAGAGCAGAGAGAUCCAGAGAGGUUGUCCCACUCUCAGGUGGAUGGUUGCUCUUCAGCAUUUGGCCAAGGUCAGACAGGCAUUCAACACUUCUCACAAAUAACUACACUUUGCACUUCUGUAACACACAUCCGGAGACCCCACAGGGCAACGGCAAAGAUCCUUCUAGCCGGUGCUGGAGUGGAAAGUACCUGGUGUGAUGCAGCUUCUCUGUGUGGCGAACGUACCUGGGAGGAGAGCACCACUGCAUCCCGUGGGCUUCCAGGAGAUGGGGUGGUGUGAAUCCCUGCCAUGGUGACAGCAUGGCAGGGAACCACUGGAUGAGUCUGCCUUCCCAGUGCUGGGUAUGCUCACUCCCACUGGCCAGGACACUGAGGA